AGUGAACGCUGGCGGCGUGCCUAAUACAUGCAAGUCGAACGGAGUGGCGCACGGGCGAGUAAUGAAUAGCUAAUCUGCCCUCCACUAGAGGAGGACCGAUGGAAACGGCUGCCCAUACUCUAUAGUGUAGAAUGAGGUUAUAUUGUAUCAGCUAGUUGGUGUGGUAAUGGCUCACCAAGGCUAUGACGCAUAACUGGUCUGAGAGAAUGAUCCGUCACACGGGAGCUAGGCAACGGGCGAGAAUCCUACGGGAUGCAGCAGUGUGGAAUAUUGCUCAAUGGGGGAAGCCAUGAAGCAGCUACGCCGCGUGGGGGAUGUCACUUGUCGGGGAGUAGACUCCUUUGGUUAUGGAUGCGGUACCUAACGAAUAAGCACCGGCUAACUCCGUGCCAGCAGCCGCGGUAAUAC
rnacentral:rRNA from 1 species